UAUAGGGUGCCUGAUAAAAGGGUUAUUUUGAUAGAAUAAAUUAUGCAUUUAUAAUGCCCUUAUUA
rnacentral:tRNA from 1 species